AGGUUGUUUUGGGGGAAAUUUCAAAGUAGACCCUUGUAGCGCUCCCAUGCUUCAAAUAGUGACUCCCUGAUUUUUUUUUCAAAAUUAGCAAUGGCUUUUUUGAGCUU